UACGGGGGGGGCAAGCGUUGUUCGGAAUUACUGGGCGUAAAGGGCUCGUAGGUGGCCAACUAAGUCAUACGUGAAAUCCCUCGGCUUAACCGGGGAACUGCGUCUGAUACUGGAUGGCUUGAGUUCGGGAGAGGGAUGCGGAAUUCCCAGUGUAGCGGUGAAAUGCGUAGAUAUUGGGAGGAACACCGGUGGCGAAGGCGGCCCCCUGGACCGGUACUGACGCUGAGGCGCGAAAGCGUGGGUAGCAAACGGG
rnacentral:rRNA from 1 species